UGGGAGGCGGUGCUUGGCACUACGACACGCCCCUGGGGGUGCUAAGCCCCGCCCCGAGGCCGCGUUGCGCGAGCUGAGGCGCUUUGUGCCGCAGCUCCCGGCUGGGGAGAGAUGGGCGGGGCAUGCGUCGGGAGGCGGUGCUUAGCCUUCCCGGCACGCCCCCGAAGCGAUCAGGCAGCCCCACCCCCGCUCCAGGCUGGCGACCGGUGAAGCUCAGCGCUUUGUACCAUGGGCUGUUCCGGGGGGCCGAGCUUGGCCGCUCGGACAACGCCUCUGGGGCCAGGCCCACCCACAGGCCGGCUGAGUGCGAACGACCGUGCUUUGUCCCACUGUGAUAGGAGCUCAUGAAAGGUGGAGAGGCGUGAGUCGGGGAACUAAGAAGAAACACCUCCUCGAGGUCUGACCUCCGCCCCUCGGCUGGCGUGCUGCGCACUUCCCCAGUACUCUAGGGGGUGAGGCGUUCUUCAGAAGGAGGCGCUCAGCUACUUUAUACACCCGGAGGAGGGCUGGCUCCGCCCCCAGAAGGGACGGUUAUUAGCAAUCUGCAGACGGUGCUCUGCAUCUUUUUGUCAAGGGACGGUGCUCUGAUCCACGAACCCUCGGAGAGGUCGGGCCUCUUCUGGCCAGUGUCCCGCAAACAACCUCUCCUGAGCCUAAAAGAAAGACAAGAACCACUUCCAAACGUAGGGGGCUCGGCCACGCCCUCAAGUUAAGGUUCCCUCCCGUACGUUCCCAGGCCGAGGUCCUGCUGUUAAUGGGUGUUUGUCUACCAUGGAAGUCCAAGAAUCCAGCAGUUGGUCAUUUAGUUUGAAAGGCUGGAUGUCUCAGCUGAAAUCGUGAAGAAGUAGGUUCUAAUGCCAAUGAAGGAUUGGAGCUGUUAGAGCACCAGGUAAAGAGCUAACACGUCCUCCCAUGUCCUUUUAGAUCAGUGCCAGCAGAAGAUGGGACCCAGAUUAAAGGGGGAGCUUCCCAUCUCAAACCAUUUAUUAAAGAAAUCCCUCACAA